UCAAAGUUUGUCCGAAGCAACCCAAAGUGGCGGGGUUUAAGCAAUCCUGGUUAUUUUAUCCCAUUCGGAGAGGGAAGUAUAUGUUCGCUAUUUAUUGAGGAGCAGUAAUUGAUUGUUGCUGCUCUGUCAUCAGAAACAAAGGAAGGGGAGCCGUAUGCUGUGGGUGUUCCUAGAGACGGAGUAUUUUCCGUCUCUAACUCAAACUUUUUAACGGAAUCUCCUCUUCGUUUUGCAAAAAACCUAAAACGAAACUCCCGCCGCCGCCUUCCUUCAUUCCUUCUUCUCGAAUCUCCAUCUCGUCCCCGUCCGUCGUUCUGUCCAGCUUCGACAGUGACAACCGGUGACUGCAACUCUUGGCUUAGUUGGCUCCUCGAUCAGCGACCAUCCGGCCUCUCUCUCUCAGAAAUUUUUUUAGCUUGAACUGAAAAAUGGUACGGCCUUAUGCGGUCAAAGGGCGUAAAAGAAAGAAGAGGGAAGAGAACUAUGAUAGAGAAGAUGAAGAACAGUCUGCAGAGGAUGAGACAGAAAGUGCACCACAUGAAGAAAAAGAAACAGAAGAUGCACAUGAACUUUCUGGAAUUCCAAUUCAACCAUAUGAACCGAAGAGCCAGACUGGUGCUGUUUUCAUUCUUGAGAAGGCUUCACUGGAAGUUGCAAAAGUUGGAAAGACUUACCAGCUUUUGAACUCAGAUGAUCAUGCCAAUUUUUUGAAAAGAAAUAACAGAAACCCUGCCGAUUACCGCCCAGAUAUUGCUCAUCAGGCUAUUCUAGCAAUUCUAGACAGCCCACUAAAUAAAGCUGGGAAGUUGCGAGCUUUGUAUGUGAAAACAGAAAAGGGUGUUCUUUUUGAAGUUAAGCCACAUGUUCGUAUUCCAAGGACAUAUAAGCGUUUUUCUGGCAUAAUGUUGCAACUGCUACAAAAGUUGAGUAUAACAGCAGUUGGCAAGCGUGAAAAACUUUUGCGUGUGAUGAAGAACCCUGUAACACAGUAUUUACCGAUCGAUUCUCGUAAAAUAGGUUUCUCAUUUAGCUCAGUAAAAUUAGUGGAUAUACAGGACUAUGUGGCUGCUGUUAAUGAUGAUGUGAACUUUGUUUUUGUGGUUGGUGCAAUGGCCCAUGGGAAAAUUGAUAAUGAAUAUGUAGACGAUUUUAUUUCAAUUUCUGGGUAUCCAUUGAGUGCAGCAGGCUGUAUUUCAAGAAUUUGUGGUGGAUUGGAGCGAAAGUGGAAGAUAUUAUAAACCUGACAUCCCUAAUACAGUACAGAAGGAUAGCAGGCUUUGUUUGAUCCUAUUCUGAUGAUGUUUCUACUUAUUCAUAGAGUGGAAGAGGGCUGCUUACGAGGACCUGUGGUGUUUUUUCAGAAGCUAUAUUUUGAUCAUAGCCGUCAUUAAUUUGAUAGUUGCAGAAUACACAGCAGCCUACAUUUGGUUUGGUGUGGGAUAUUUAAUAUUGGAUGCUGUUUCGGUUGUCUAUUUGGCUUUUGUAAUUUGAUUAGAGACUUGAGACUCAGCUUAUCCUUGUUCCUCCUAAUUUUCAAAUCACUGAAGGAAGAAAUUCCAAUUGUACCGUGUAUCUUUGAAAUUCUGUAUGCUGGACUUGUUAUGAAUUACUACUAGCAGAAGGUUUUCUUGUA